rnacentral:rRNA from 1 species
AUACCGCAUAACAGUAGAUGUUGCAUGACAUUUGCUUAAAAGGUGCAAUUGCAUCACUACCAGAUGGACCUGCGUUGUAUUAGCUAGUUGGUGGGGUAACGGCUCACCAAGGCGACGAUACAUAGCCGACCUGAGAGGGUGAUCGGCCACACUGGGACUGAGACACGGCCCAGACUCCUACGGGAGGCAGCAGUAGGGAAUCUUCGGCAAUGGACGGAAGUCUGACCGAGCAACGCCGCGUGAGUGAAGAAGGUUUUCGGAUCGUAAAGCUCUGUUGUAAGAGAAGAACGAGUGUGAGAGUGGAAAGUUCGCACUGUGACGGUAUCUUACCAGAAAGGGACGGCUAACUACGUGCCAGCAGCCGCGGUAAUACGUAGGUCCCGAGCGUUGUCCGGAUUUAUUGGGCGUAAAGCGAGCGCAGGCGGUUAGAUAAGUCUGAAGUUAAAGGCUGUGGCUUAACCAUAGUACGCUUUGGAAACUGUUUAACUUGAGUGCAAGAGGGGAGAGUGGAAUUCCAUGUGUAGCGGUGAAAUGCGU